GGUGAGGUCCUCUCAUGCCGAUAACGCGUACGGGCCUUGAGAGAGGAAGCCCGGAGAUGGGUUCUGAGACACCAACCCAGGUCCUACGGGACGCAGCAGGCGCGAAACUUUCGCAAUGCGCGCAAGCGUGACGGAGGAACUCGGAGUGCUGUUGCAACUAUUGUAGCAGCUUUUGUCAACUGUAAAUAGGUUGGCGAAUAAGUGGUGGGUAAGACCGGUGCCAGCCGCCGCGGUAAUACCGGCGCCUCAAGUGCUUAUCACGUUUAUUGGGCCUAAAGCGUUCGUAGCCGGCUCAGUGCGUUCCCCAUGAAAUCCGGCCGAUAACGGUCGGGCGUGUGGGGAAUACGGCUGAGCUUGAGACCGGGAGAGGUUGCGAGUACUUUCAGGGUAGGGGUAAAAUCCUAUCAUCCUGAAAGGACUACCUGUGGCGAAGGCGCGCAACUAGAACGGAUCUGACGGUGAGGGACGAAAGCUGGGGGAGCGAAAGGGAUUAGAUACCCCUGUAGUCCCAGCUGUAAACGAUGCCUGCUAGACAUCGCUAUUCCUACGGGGGAUAGCGGAGUCGUAGGGAAGCCGUUAAGCAGGCCGCCUGGGAAGUACGUCCGCAAGGAUGAAACUUAAGGGAAUUGGCGGGGGAGCACACAAGGGGUGGAUGCUGCGGUUUAAUUCGAUUCAACGCGGGAAACCUCAUCAGGGGCGACAGCAGAAUGAAGGUCAGGCUGAAGGUCUUACCAGACACGCUGAGCGGUGCUGCAUGGCCGUCGUCAGUUCGUGGCGUGAGCUGUCCUGUUAAGUCAGGUAACGAACAAGACCCGUGUCCAAUGUUACGACGUUCGGCUCCGGUCGAGCGGUACUCAUUGGAGACCGCUACUGAAAAAGUAGAGGAAGGUGCGGUCGACGGCAGGUCCGUAUGGUCCUAAUCCCCUGAGCAACACGCGGCAUACAAUGGCCAGGACAGCGGGAUGCCACGCCGAAAGGCGGAGCUAAUCCCUAAACCUGGUCUAAGUCCGGAUUGAGGGCUGCAACUCGCCCCCAUGAAGUUGAAAUCCCUAGUAGUCGCGGGUCAUCAUCUCGCGGCGAAUCUGUUCCUGCUCCUUGCACACACUGCCCGUCAAGCCAACCGAGUGGAUUUUUGGCGAGCCGUAGGUUUUUUGCCUACGUCGAGCCACAUUUCUGCAAGGUGGGCUAAGUCGUAACAAGGUA
rnacentral:rRNA from 1 species